UAGCAGAAACACAUAUCCUCGCUGCGUUCCUGACCAAGGCUGUCCUCCAACUGGUAAAAUCCCAAGGCACAGACACAGCCUUCAAAAAUGAGUGAGAAGGUCGUAGAGGGACCAGAAAUUCUACUAUUCAAAGAAAGAUCAAAGACAUCAGCUGACAAAAAAAAAGAGAAGAGAAAAUUUGGGAUGAAAGUGAGAAGUUAAUGCCAAAACCUGGAUUCUAGUCUCAUUAAGAUUGAUGACCAAAAGGAGCAGUUUUGUUCUCCUCGGUUUUCCUCCAGCCUUUGAAGUUUCUGGACUUUGAAGUUUCAGUGACACUGCUUAUACCUUUCAUCUCCAUAUAUCCACAAACUAUUCAAGCUCCUUUGAAAUUUAAAGCUUUUGAUGUUGAUUAGAUCGAAGCUAUACACUAUGCAAUCCCUGUGGUAAACUUUGUUGUGGAACAGAAUUACUCUCAUGCUAAUGGUUUAGGAUGUUCAGUCUUUUGCAGAUUUACAAAACAUAAGAGUGUAAUUAGAGCAAUUACUUAAAUCCAUUGAUAUUUGAAAACUGAGACUGGCUUUUAUACAUUUAUGUAUAUCCCUGACAUCUAGCAAAAAUAUGUAAAUGAAAAAACUAAGGAAUAUUUAAUUUUAGUGCUUUUUCAGAGACCUAAGAAUGAUAAAGCAUAUUUUGACAUUUCUGUGAUACCCAUACAUUUCUCCUAAACAUUAAAAAUAAAUUAUUAUAAUUUUCCUCUUAUACAAUGUAAUUACAGUUGAAAAAUACUGGUUGGUGUGUAUCUGUGUGUGUGUGUGUGAGAGAGAGAGACAAACAGAGACAGAGACAGAGAGACAGAGACAGAGGUACAUUGCUUUUAGGAAAGAAUAUUACUUUAUAGUUCCAAAUUUACAUCCAUAAGAAAAUAUUUCAAAUGACUAAAACAAUGAUUGCAAAUAAUUAACAAUAUUUUUAUGUUAAAGAUGUUUCAGACAUUUUGCAUACAUC